CCGCGCUGCUGCUGCUGCUACUGCUGCUGCUGCUGCUAUUCCAGCCCAUUGCCUGAGUUGUCUCGCUUAUGCGUCUUAACCACUACUACUACUACAAACCACCUCAAAUACUCUGGCGUGAAGCCAACAUGAUUUUUUGCUCCUUGGGAUAUACAGCACUCUGCUAUAUGGAACAGACAACUUUUACCUGUUUCAUUUAAGGCUUGUUGUUUCUUAUAACUUCACAUGUGUCUUCUCAAUGGGGAGGAAGAGAGAGAAGGAGAAAGGGAGAGAAUCU
rnacentral:lncRNA from 1 species